rnacentral:rRNA from 1 species
UACGUAGGGUGCGAGCGUUAAUCGGAAUUACUGGGCGUAAAGCGUGCGCAGGCGGUUCGUUAAGUUCGUUGUGAAAGCCCCGGGCCCAACCUGGGAACUGCAAUGGAAACUGGCGGGCUUGAGUGCGGCAGAGGGGGGUGGAAUUCCGCGUGUAGCAGUGAAAUGCGUAGAGAUGCGGAGGAACACCGAUGGCGAAGGCAGCCCCCUGGGCCGACACUGACGCUCAGGCACGAAAGCGUGGGGAGCAAACAGG